rnacentral:rRNA from 1 species
GACGAACGCUGGCGGCGUGCUUAACACAUGCAAGUCGAACGGAAAGGCCCUGCUUGCAGGGUACUCGAGUGGCGAACGGGUGAGUAACACGUGGGUGAUCUGCCCUGCACUUCGGGAUAAGCCUGGGAAACUGGGUCUAAUACCGGAUAGGAGCCAUUUUUAGUGUGAUGGUUGGAAAGUUUUUUUCGGUGUAGGAUGAGCUCGCGGCCUAUCAGCUUGUUGGUGGGGUAAUGGCCUACCAAGGCGGCGACGGGUAGCCGGCCUGAGAGGGUGGACGGCCACAUUGGGACUGAGAUACGGCCCAGACUCCUACGGGAGGCAACAGUGGGGAAUAUUGCACAAUGGGCGCAAGCCUGAUGCAGCGACGCCGCGUGGGGGAUGACGGCCUUCGGGUUGUAAACUCCUUUCGCUAGGGACGAAGCUUUUUGUGACGGUACCUAGAUAAGAAGCACCGGCUAACUACGUG